AGGUCUGUAGCUCUAAUUGGUUAGAGCGCCGGACUCCAAAUCCGGAGGUUGUGGGUUCGAGUCCCACCAGACCUG
rnacentral:tRNA from 1 species